UUGAGACACGAAAGUAUAUACAAGAAAUGUAAACAUUGUCUUGUGCUCGACAACGAACGUUUCAAAUUCUUCUUACCAGUGGUCUUUAUUUAUCGUGCCUAUAUAUUUUAAAGAUUUAUAAUAGUUAUAAAUGUGUAAAGACAUACAUGCGGUGCUGGAGAAAAAGGUCAACGCGUUAAUCUAUUAAUUAAUAAGGAAUCAAACAAGCACGGCUUGAAAUUACGGCUGAAUAUAAGAAUUGGAGGAUCAGCUAAACCAGACCGCUCCUCGCGAUCAAGUGCGAAUUUUGAACAAGAACUUUUCCUUGCAUUAACAUAUAACGCGAAUGUUGAGGACUAUUACGACCAUUUAAAUAUUAUUUUUCGAAGACACUGUGUGAUUGUAAAAACAUCUGCGAACGUCCCGUUAUCGUAGAGCGACCUAACUGUCAGAAAUGUGGAUCUAUCAAAAUUUCAUCUUCAGAUUUAUAAUAAAAAAUUUAUUUCGCAUUAGGAUGGAUGAAUUAGAAUCAAACGAUAAUCUUGUAGCAAAUUACAUUAGACAAGAAAGAAAUAAGUACAACAAAAUAUUGGAGAAGAACUAUUAUCGAUUCCAAAGCUUUAGAUUAGCAAGCUUACGCGCAUGGACUAUACCGGAAGACAAGAAAAAUCUUCCUAAACUACUCGCAGAAGAUGGGUUCUAUUACACUGGAAAAGAUGAUAAGAUGGAAUGCUUCAACUGUCAUGUCGUCAUAUCCGACUGGUGCAGUUGUUAUAACCUGCCGUCAGAGAGGCACAAGCAAUCUUCCCCGAGAUGUAGAAUAGUCCGCAAUAUUCCUUGCGGAAAUAUCCCGUUGGAAAACGAUCCGGUAUCUUGUCCACCUGUACCCACAUCUGAAAGUAUAAGCAAAAUGGACAUAUCCGAUUUUUCUCCGGAUGAGCUUGAUCAAGAAAUCGAGGUUUACUUCGAAUAUUUUGGUUAUUCUUGCCCUGUUAAGCCGCGCGAACUUAUAGGCGCCAAAUAUCCCAAUUUUGUCUUCUACAGAUAUAGAUUAGGGACUUUCCUCGAUUGUCCGGGAAGAUGGACUCAUAAAAUUGAAGAUCUGGCGAAAGCUGGUUGGCUUUCGGGAGAUGACGGCAACGAAACCUAUUGUUUCUAUUGCGGCGGAGGAUUAAAACAUUGGGAACCGGAAGACGAUCCUAUAAUGGAGCACAUAAAACACUAUCCCCAUUGCAAUUUUAUCAACAGACUGGUAAAAGAGAAGUAAAUAAGAUUAUAAAAAUAUUGGCUGCGUUCAAAAAUUACACUCACAAUUAGACACGUCAGAGUCACAUUCUAUCAACUUUUUUGCAUGGAUUACUUAGGCCGUCAAUCUGUAAAUUAUUAAUAUACGCGUGAUAUAAAGACAAAGACAUUAUUAUAAAAUUCACAAAUGAUAGUUUCAUGCUAACUAUUCGUUUUUAAAUUUAUAUUUUAUUAGUUUUUUGUAUCGUCUAUUUAUAAUUUAUAUAUUAAUUAUUUAUUCGUUCUUAUUAUGUACAUAUGACAAUUUGCAUAUUCUCAAUAACAGCAUUUAAAAUAAUUAUAAGUAUAAUAUUUUAAACUUAAAAUAUAAUACUUUUUUUAAAUAAAAUAAUAUAUUAACUUAUAGAAGUUAUUCAAAAUGUAUUGUUGUUGAAAAUGUUUAUCUUAUUGUUUAUGCUAUUAACUUUAUAUUAUUUAUUUUAUUUUUAUAU